rnacentral:rRNA from 1 species
GACGAGGUGGACAAACGUUAUUCGGAUUUACUGGGCUUAAAGCGUGCGUAGGCGGCUCAGAAAGUUGGGUGUGAAAGCCCUCGGCUCAACCGAGGAAUUGCGCUCAAAACUACUGAGCUUGAGUGAGAUAGGGGUGAGCGGAACUGAUGGUGGAGCGGUGAAAUGCGUUGAUAUCAUCAGGAACACCGGUGGCGAAGGCGGCACUCUGGGCCGGUACUGACGCUGAGGAGCGAAAGCGUGGGGAGCGAACAGG